UAUGCAUUGGUAUUAGUAUGAAUUAUUACACUUUUAUACCAGGUUAAGAAAACAGAGAAUUUACUAUUUAAUAUUUCAUCUGUUUCCCUCGUUAACACAAUUUUUCCUCAACAGAUUCUUGUUCUGAGAUGAAAGCACAAGUUCUUCUUCCACCUAAACUGACGGUGAAUCCAUCGGUGAUCACAGACACAGACUCAGUCACAUUGGACUGUCAGCCUCCACCAUCUGUUUCUGUGUCUCAGUGUUAUUUCAGCACUGUAAGAGUAAGACCGGCCAUAAGCUUCUCUUGUCUGCAGACACUGACAGGAACUGAACUGCUCAAGAUGUCAAAUCAAAGUUCACCUGCUGAGGUUGAAGUGAAAUGCUCUUACCUUAAGGUGUCUCAAUCUCCUGAGAGUGAAACAACGUCCAUCACCAUCCGAAGUGAGUGAACACUCCUGCUAUGGACCAAUAUUACAAUCAUUUUGUUUAUUAUAACAUUUGAUAUGUGAUGAUUAAGUCUUUGGCAAUUAAACUCUACAGGAAGAUUUUUGUAAUAGAGGAUUGUUUACCCCGAGUAGGAGAAAGAUAAAUCCUCCAAUGGAGAAUGACUGUGCUGAAGAGUGAUGAAAAAAUGAAGCUGAUGUAUCUGUAUAGACUGGAUGAGGAUGAGUUGAAGGGGUGCACAUAAACACUGAAGGCUGAGAAAGAAUUGUACAGGAAAAGACUGCAGUUGCUGUAUUAUUGGAUAGAUGAGACCAGCUGAUGGAAACUGCUGAUAUCACAAUUUACAGCCCCAGAUAAUGACUGCAAGGAAAUAGACAUGAGCAUGUGUAUACUUGACUGAACUUUUGCAAGAGCUUCAUUAAGAUAUCUUUUUACAUUAUCAACACAAACAAAGUGACUCAAAAUAGGAAACGCAUUGAUGAUUUAAAAUGGGUAUCAAGAAUUACACUAUCUAAUACAUACAGCCUCGGGGCAUCCUCUACCAUUUUAAAUAUAUCAUCAGAAUGUUUUAAAUAAAUUGAAUUUUCAAUUAUUUAACCCAACAUAUACUUACAUUUUCAGCAUCUCUUCCACCUAAACUGACAGUGAAUCCACCAGUGAUCAACGAGAGAGACUCAGUCACAUUGAACUGUCAGACUCCACCAUCCUUUUCUGUGACUCAGUGUCAUUUCUACAUUUCAAGUGGAGGAACUGUCAGAGACUCCUCUUGUCUGCAGACACUGACAGGAACUGAACUGCUGAAGACGUCACCUCAGAGUUCACCUUCUGAGGUUGAAGUGAUGUGUUUUUAUACGGUAAAGCUUGGAGAAAAAGAUUCUCCAUCUCCAUACAGUGGCACUUCCCGCAUUACCAUACACGGUGAGUGAAUGCUUUUUUGAUUUGGUAUCAUAACAAGAAAAGGGGAGAAGUGAAUUUGUCUUUAGGGCUUAUAAACCAAAACAAGGAGAGAAAGACUAAUUUAAGAACUUCUGUUCUCAUAAAAUGCCGCCUGCUUUUUUAAUGUUAAUUGUAUUUUGAGCAACGAUAGAUUUAAU
ensembl:lncRNA